rnacentral:misc_RNA from 1 species
AAGUCGUAACAAGGUUUCCGUAGGUGAACCUGCGGAAGGAUCAUUACCGAGUGCGGACCCUCUGGGUCCAACCUCCCAUCCGUGUCUAUCCAUACCCUGUUGCUUCGGCGGGCCCGCUUGGCUGUCCCCCUCCCCAGGAGGGGAGGGGGCCGCCGGCCGCCGGGGGGCUACCCUGCCCCCGGGCCCGUGCCCGCCGGGGACACCAACACUGAACACUGUCUGAAGGUUGCAGUCUGAGUUUUCAUAAAGAAAAAUUGUUAAAACUUUCAACAACGGAUCUCUUGGUUCCG